GUGGGGAAUAUUGGACAAUGGGCGAAAGCCUGAUCCAGCCAUGCCGCGUGUGUGAAGAAGGUCUUCGGAUUGUAAAGCACUUUAAGUUGGGAGGAAGGGCAGUAAGUUAAUACCUUGCUGUUUUGACGUUACCGACAGAAUAAGCACCGGCUAACUUCGUGCCAGCAGCCGCGGUAAUACGAAGGGUGCAAGCGUUAAUCGGAAUUACUGGGCGUAAAGCGCGCGUAGGUGGUUCAGUAAGUUGGAUGUGAAAUCCCCGGGCUCAACCUGGGAACUGCAUCCAAAACUGCUGAGCUAGAGUACGGUAGAGGGUGGUGGAAUUUCCUGUGUAGCGGUGAAAUGCGUAGAUAUAGGAAGGAACACCAGUGGCGAAGGCGACUACCUGGACUGAUACUGACACUGAGGUGCGAAAGCGUGGGGAGCAAACAGGAUUAGAUACCCCAGUAGUCC
rnacentral:rRNA from 1 species